rnacentral:misc_RNA from 1 species
UUUCCGUAGGUGAACCUGCGGAAGGAUCAUUCAUAAUAAGUGUUUUAUGGCACUUUUUUAAAUCCAUAUCCACCUUGUGUGCAAUGUCAGGGCUGAUUUUUCUCUCGAGAGGAUCAACCCCAAACAUCGACUAUAUCUCAACUCUUUGUCUGAAAAAUAUUAUGAAUAAAACAAUUCAAAAUACAACUUUCAACAACGGAUCUCUUGGCUCUC